GGGUUGUGAGGUUAAGCGACUAAGCGUACACGGUGGAUGCCCUGGCAGUCAGAGGCGAUGAAGGACGUGCUAAUCUGCGAUAAGCGUCGGUAAGGUGAUAUGAACCGUUAUAACCGGCGAUUUCCGAAUGGGGAAACCCAGUGUGUUUCGACACACUAUCAUUAACUGAAUCCAUAGGUUAAUGAGGCGAACCGGGGGAACUGAAACAUCUAAGUACCCCGAGGAAAAGAAAUCAACCGAGAUUCCCCCAGUAGCGGCGAGCGAACGGGGAGCAGCCCAGAGUCUGAAUCAGUGUGUGUGUUAGUGGAAGUGUCUGGAAAGGCGCGCGAUACAGGGUGACAGCCCCGUACACAAAAAUGCACAUGCUGUGAGCUCGAUGAGUAGGGCGGGACACGUGGUAUCCUGUCUGAAUAUGGGGGGACCAUCCUCCAAGGCUAAAUACUCCUGACUGACCGAUAGUGAACCAGUACCGUGAGGGAAAGGCGAAAAGAACCCCGGCGAGGGGAGUGAAAAAGAACCUGAAACCGUGUACGUACAAGCAGUGGGAGCCCUGAUUUAUCAGGGUGACUGCGUACCUUUUGUAUAAUGGGUCAGCGACUUAUAUUCUGUAGCAAGGUUAACCGAAUAGGGGAGCCGGAGGGAAACCGAGUCUUAACUGGGCGUUAAGUUGCAGGGUAUAGACCCGAAACCCGGUGAUCUAGCCAUGGGCAGGUUGAAGGUUGGGUAACACUAACUGGAGGACCGAACCGACUAAUGUUGAAAAAUUAGCGGAUGACUUGUGGCUGGGGGUGAAAGGCCAAUCAAACCGGGAGAUAGCUGGUUCUCCCCGAAAGCUAUUUAGGUAGCGCCUCGUGAAUUCAUCUCCGGGGGUAGAGCACUGUUUCGGCAAGGGGGUCAUCCCGACUUACCAACCCGAUGCAAACUGCGAAUACCGGAGAAUGUUAUCACGGGAGACACACGGCGGGUGCUAACGUCCGUCGUGAAGAGGGAAACAACCCAGACCGCCAGCUAAGGUCCCAAAGUCAUGGUUAAGUGGGAAACGAUGUGGGAAGGCCCAGACAGCCAGGAUGUUGGCUUAGAAGCAGCCAUCAUUUAAAGAAAGCGUAAUAGCUCACUGGUCGAGUCGGCCUGCGCGGAAGAUGUAACGGGGCUAAACCAUGCACCGAAGCUGCGGCAGCGACACUGUGUGUUGUUGGGUAGGGGAGCGUUCUGUAAGCCUGUGAAGGUGUGCUGUGAGGCAUGCUGGAGGUAUCAGAAGUGCGAAUGCUGACAUAAGUAACGAUAAAGCGGGUGAAAAGCCCGCUCGCCGGAAGACCAAGGGUUCCUGUCCAACGUUAAUCGGGGCAGGGUGAGUCGACCCCUAAGGCGAGGCCGAAAGGCGUAGUCGAUGGGAAACAGGUUAAUAUUCCUGUACUUGGUGUUACUGCGAAGGGGGGACGGAGAAGGCUAUGUUGGCCGGGCGACGGUUGUCCCGGUUUAAGCGUGUAGGCUGGUUUUCCAGGCAAAUCCGGAGAAUCAAGGCUGAGGCGUGAUGACGAGGCACUACGGUGCUGAAGCAACAAAUGCCCUGCUUCCAGGAAAAGCCUCUAAGCAUCAGGUAACAUCAAAUCGUACCCCAAACCGACACAGGUGGUCAGGUAGAGAAUACCAAGGCGCUUGAGAGAACUCGGGUGAAGGAACUAGGCAAAAUGGUGCCGUAACUUCGGGAGAAGGCACGCUGAUAUGUAGGUGAAGCGACUUGCUCGUGGAGCUGAAAUCAGUCGAAGAUACCAGCUGGCUGCAACUGUUUAUUAAAAACACAGCACUGUGCAAACACGAAAGUGGACGUAUACGGUGUGACGCCUGCCCGGUGCCGGAAGGUUAAUUGAUGGGGUCAGCGCAAGCGAAGCUCUUGAUCGAAGCCCCGGUAAACGGCGGCCGUAACUAUAACGGUCCUAAGGUAGCGAAAUUCCUUGUCGGGUAAGUUCCGACCUGCACGAAUGGCGUAAUGAUGGCCAGGCUGUCUCCACCCGAGACUCAGUGAAAUUGAACUCGCUGUGAAGAUGCAGUGUACCCGCGGCAAGACGGAAAGACCCCGUGAACCUUUACUAUAGCUUGACACUGAACACUGGUCCUUGAUGUGUAGGAUAGGUGGGAGGCUUUGAAGUGUGGACGCCAGUCUGCGUGGAGCCGUCCUUGAAAUACCACCCUUUAAUGGCUGGUGUUCUAACGUUGGCCCCUUACCGGGGUUGCGGACAGUGUCUGGUGGGUAGUUUGACUGGGGCGGUCUCCUCCUAAAGAGUAACGGAGGAGCACGAAGGUUGGCUAAUCCUGGUCGGACAUCAGGAGGUUAGUGCAAUGGCAUAAGCCAGCUUGACUGCGAGCGUGACGGCGCGAGCAGGUGCGAAAGCAGGUCAUAGUGAUCCGGUGGUUCUGAAUGGAAGGGCCAUCGCUCAACGGAUAAAAGGUACUCCGGGGAUAACAGGCUGAUACCGCCCAAGAGUUCAUAUCGACGGCGGUGUUUGGCACCUCGAUGUCGGCUCAUCACAUCCUGGGGCUGAAGUAGGUCCCAAGGGUAUGGCUGUUCGCCAUUUAAAGUGGUACGCGAGCUGGGUUUAGAACGUCGUGAGACAGUUCGGUCCCUAUCUGCCGUGGGCGCUGGAGAACUGAGGGGGGCUGCUCCUAGUACGAGAGGACCGGAGUGGACGCAUCACUGGUGUUCGGGUUGUCAUGCCAAUGGCACUGCCCGGUAGCUAAAUGCGGAAGAGAUAAGUGCUGAAAGCAUCUAAGCACGAAACUUGCCCCGAGAUGAGUUCUCCCUGAGACCUGGAGUCUCCUGAAGGAACGUUGAAGACGACGACGUUGAUAGGCCGGGUGUGUAAGCGCAGCGAUGCGUUGAGCUAACCGGUACUAAUGAACCGUGAGGCUUAACCUUACAAC
rnacentral:rRNA from 1 species